GACGAACGCUGGCGGCGUGCUUAACACAUGCAAGUCGAGCGAGGCCCGCUCUUCGGGGUGGUGCCCUAGCGGCGAACGGGUGAGUAACACGUGGGCAACCUGCCCUCAGCUCUGGGAUAACUCCAAGAAAUUGGUGCUAAUACCGGAUGUGACCGCUGACCGCAUGGGUCUAGGUGGUGGAAAGAUUUUUCGGCUGAGGAUGGGCCCGCGGCCUAUCAGCUUGUUGGGUGGGGUGAUGGCCUACCAAGGCGACGACGGGUAGCCGGCCUGAGAGGGUGACCGGCCACACUGGGACUGAGACACGGCCCAGACUCCUACGGGAGGCAGCAGGUGGGGAAUAUUGCGCAAGUGGGCGGAAGCCUGACGCAGCGACGCCGCGUGGGGAUGACGGCCU
rnacentral:rRNA from 1 species